AAUGUGAAAGAAAAAAAAUUGACAGAAAAAAAAAAACGGGUAGAGUACCGUAAAUAAUGACAAGUUUUGGUUGAACUAUUCUACGCUACAAGGAUAAACUGCAGCAACUAUACCAACACUAAAACUGAGAAAAUGGCUUCAAAGUUACUUGGUUUGAGUAUGGAUUUUCUAGUCUUUGCAAGUUUUACACUCCGUUUUCUGAGCAUUGUUGAGCCAACCCCUCUUUAACAGGACAGAUCAAGAGGCCCAGUUUUGGUCACUUUGAGAAAAUGUGUAGUUAAUGCAUUUUGCCUUUGCACUGUAGUAUUCAUUUAACUUCCACAAAUUUCAAACAUAUUGUAAAACUGGCCUCAGAUCAGCAGAUUUGACAAUGUCUACCAGCAACAGAUUGGAGUGGUGAUGUUCAACAGACUGAGUGGCCUUUUUGCUUGGAAAGACAGUCGCCAUCGGAAAUGCAGUAGCCAAACACUAUGUACUGAAGCAAGACAGGGAAAGUUCCAGCUGAGCUCCUCUCUAUUAUUCUCAUAAUAAUAAUAAUAAUAAUAAUAAUAAUAAAUGUUGAAUGUUCAAAAAUCUACUGUCUUAUUCUCAGACAAUGCUUGCUGUUGACCCAGUGUCUCGGUAAUGAAGCUAAUACCGUAAGGACUUAUAGUGGGCCAUGAUGUCACUCAACAUGGGAUUACCAAAGUAAACAAGUCAACAGUCGUUCACCUGGCAAAACCAACUGAAAAACUGCUCCAAGGUCAAUGUUGUCUGUCAGUUCCAUGUGGAUGUGCAGAAACAUCAGGUGGUCGAGGCGCUUUUCCAGCCUGAUCUUAUGAAUGUUUGGUAACAUUUUUGCCAACCAAAAUUAUGUGCUUCUUUACACAUUUUUCUGCAGUUUCCCAGUGAAAUGUCCAGUGGGGGGCACUAAAAGUGAGUGAAAUGGUGUCGUAAUCAGACAAGAUUUUUAAAGUGAAUAUUAGAUGGAUGUUUUAAUACUUUAGCCUAAACCUAACCUAUACUGUUUGUAAAGAUAAAGAAGAGGUAAUCAAAGCAUCCUUACCCUUAACCAACACCUAAACCUAACUGAUAAUGUCCUAACCGAUAGUGUUUUAAUAGCAAAUUUGACAUGAAAACUUCAAUGGCACUUUCGCUGCACUUUCACUUUCUUUUUCGAGCGUCCUUGGCUGGGCUUGACGCUCGGUGUCUGAGUCCAAGGUCUCCAAGUCCAAAGUCCAUCACUCUAUCAAGUAAGCUACUGCGCUAGCUAAUCAUGUUGGAAUACAUGUGUAAUGGUGGGUCUGUAAUACAAGGGUUUAAAAGUAUUGUUUUUCAAAUGAUGCGUUAGAGUAAAAGUUUUUUGAUAUAAUAACAUAGCAGUGUGUGUAAUACAGGAAAAAUAAGUGUUUAUAAAGUCAUAAAAAGCCAUAGUAUCCAUGAUUUGUGUGAAAGUGAAUAAAACGCACAGUUGUUGUAGCGCCUCUAGUGGUAAUUUCACCAGGAAACUGCAGCAAAUCAUAGAAAGCGGGACGUAAAACUCAGUUCGCAAAAAUGUAGUUAUAGUAACACUCAUUGUAUGAGACUAGGUUGCGCUUGUCAGUCGUUGUGGAGUGCUGGAGCAUCUUGAUGUGGUGAAGACAUGAAAAGCUCCUUUCAGUUGUCACAUUUGACAAGGGGACUGUAAGAUAGAAAAAACACAGAUUUGUUCACAAGCGGAAAAUCACCACUUUACAAGUGUGAAAGAUUAAAUGAGGGGCAAAUUCAUGGUUCUGACCUUAGAAGAAUGUUCCUCUAGCUAUCACUCUGGCCAUGUAUAGAAUAAUCUGAAGAACCUUUUAAGAACACAUGCUGUUUUUGUCCCAAAAGGCUGAGCUCUUGUGCAGAGUACUUUGGUAAUUUGUCAUACUUUUAAAUGUGAACAGGGCUUUGAUAUAAGAACUGCUUUUAAAUGUAAUUUUGAGACUGAAUGAAGAUUUGAUUAAUGCACAUAAACACAAUAUA